rnacentral:lncRNA from 1 species
UAGGUUUCAAAGUGUGUUUUUUUUUGUUACAGGUCCAAGAACAAGCUCAUAAAAUACACUACCAUGUCAUCAUUGUAGUUUCACUUAAAAGUGUCUUUGAGAAUUCACAAUACAUUAUUUCCAAAUGUGUGUUAUCUGUUACAAACAGUUGCUCAGGCUGCCUUGAAUUUUUCAUGGGCUUAUGCAUUUCACACUUAUUUUAAAAUUGAAGCUAUAUUCAAUUUUCUUGUGUACUUAGAGUCCAAGAGUCCAGCAAUGUGUGGAUACUUCUUUCAAUGCAUGAUUGUCAUGAAUGCUGAUUCACCCACAAAACAAUGACUUGCUUUUCCAGUGCAUAGCUGACUUCCUAGAAACACUGGUUCCUUAAGCUACUCCCCUCUGUGUGGCAGCCUAGAAGGUUUAACAUUCCUUCAAGGACCAUUCAUCCUAUGCAGAGGAAUGUGCUGUCUUAGUCAGUGGAAUUGCCAUUUGCAGGAUAACCAGACCCUGUUCUCCUAUUUAUUUUGCAGUCCCAGUUCCUCACAGUGUGUUCCUACUCUGUGUGCACACACUUUGAAAAGGCUUCAGGCAACAGCUCCUCUCUCAAGUUAAGGUCAAUCAAUACGGCUGAUGUUUAAUUAUAGGUAGCUGACAGUAUCCUCUGGCAUAGGCUAACCUUGUUAAAUAUAAGGUUUAAAAAUAUCCCUUCAAAAUUAAUUUUCUGCUUGUUUUUAGAUGUCCUGAGUGUGCUGGUUCUUCUGUGACCUUGACAGGUCUGUCUGUGACAGCUAAAACCCUGCUUUACUUUCUCAACACUGAGAUUCACUCCUACAUUAUAAAACAAGUCUGGGGGUUGUCACUGUCUUCCACGCCACUGCAUCUGAUCUCUCCUGACAAAGGGGCAUGAGAUGGUUGUAUUCAUCUCGUGAAUACCCUGUUAAAGGUUUUUCAGCAGACACAGUCUGGGCUGUUUGCAUCUAUUCACCACACGGUAAGAAAAGGACCAUUUGCUUCUGUUCAUCUAGUGUACUGCCAGAGAAUCAGCUGUAUUAAAUGCACAGAGUCUAAAAGGAUUUUAGUGAUGUCUUGAUUGUAACAACAUUCUAACUUGAAAAUUUCCAGCUUUAAAGAAAUUUGUUUACAUUAUACAAGAGUUGCAGUUCUUUCUUAAGAUUUUUGUUACUCCUGUGCUUUGUCAAAUGUUUGACUCCUAAGGGAGGACAGCACUACUUAGAAGAGCUUUUAAGAAACCAAAUUCACUAGGACACUGCGUCUUACUGUAGUAGGUCAGCAUGUCUCCAGCUGUACUCUGAUUUCCAGUAAUAGACCUAAUCUUCUAAAUCAAUAAGUGAUCCAGACAGCUGCACCAUUACACCAGGUAAGUCCCACCUCACCUCCUUCUAUGCUUACCUUUGGGUCUGUCAAAUUGUUGCUGAAAGGGCCCCCAGGAAAGGGUUAAGCAUAUUAAUGAACUUGUGUGUUUAAUGAUAUGGAGAUAGUGUACUUCAAACAGUGAAAGAAAAUUUAAAACAGUCCAGCACUGCAAAACAACUUUCUAAUGUUUUAGCUUAGGGUUUUGUAAAUUCCUUGACUUUUCUACAGUCAUGGUAUGUGUGGUUUAAGUUCUAAAUAUAUAAAACCUGUUUAAUGGAAUCAGUAACCCUUGUAACAAAGAAGUAUCUUCUAUUCUAAAAUGUCAAACUAUUUUAAACAUUAAACAAAACCAGGGAGAAUAGAAUCUAUGCAGUCCAUGUUUUGAAAUAUAAGACUCCAUGUAUUUUAACGGAAACAAAAGACAAAUUUCUACCUUCCCUGAAGAUUCAUAAGUAGGAGCUCUAAUUAGAUCUCAUCCAGUUAAAAUGUAACAAUUAAUCCAAACUGCUUUCAAAAGGAUCAGUGCAUUGUGACGUGCAUUAUAAAGAGAAAUAAAUUAUAGCUGUCAAGUGUCAGAUUUUACUUCUGUUACUCACCCAUCACUGAACUUUGAGACUCAGCAUCUUAUUUUAAUAUUUCUGAACAAUGUGAUUUUAAUUGUUGUGAUUAAGGGAUUGCAGAAACGUGUCCCACGUGAAGACGACACUCAAUGAAGUAUUACCUCUGCUUUUAGAAUUACAUUUGAUCGCGCUUGUAAAUUCGCAGUGGAUUUCCCAUUAAUUAGUGUGAAUUAGAUAGUUGUGGCUGUUCAGUUUAGGUUAAUUCUAAGUGUUUUACAGUGCAUCGCUAAUUAUUGAUGGCGGGGGGUGGGUGGAACCCAACCCUUGUUAAACAGCCCGCAGGUGCGUUCACUCUGCUCCGUGGGUGUUCCUAGGGGCUGGCAGCUUCUCCGCGGUGCUGGCCUUGGAUACUUGGAUACUCCUGGCACCACCACGGGACCUCCUCGUCCCGCAGAGAGCGGCUCCUCCAAGGCCCAACACAGCGCAGAGAAACUCUGCUCAGUCCUUCCCUCCCCGAGGAUCCCAUCCCAUUUUCCCGUUUGAUUCGCCCUCGGGAGCUCUGCUUCCCAGACAGCGCGCCGCUCUUUUGUGCUCGGUGCGAGCCCGCGGCUGAGCUCCUUUUGACGGUGUCAGCGCCGGCCCGUAACGCGCCCGCCGCACCACGAGCCGUUCCCGCUAUCCAAAGGGCUCAGCGUGCGCUGCUCCCGCCGGGGCGCGGGCCCGGGCAGGUGCCCAAACACAGGCACCGAUCCCCGCUGUUGUAUGUGCCACGGCUUGACAGACGGACACUCAGACCGCGUCCUUUGUUCCGCAGUCGGGACAGAGCUGCCUUCGCAGUCUCAGGCCGGGCAGGGAUCUUUAUCUCUGCUGCGCUGCGCCAGGUCCUGCCCAGGCACCGCCGCAGCGACGCGGGGGUUCCGGCUCGUAAAGGCGGGUCGUGGCGAGCCGCAAACACCCCAGUCCUCGCUUCUCCCCGGAGGAGAGGACAGGACAACCCCCGGAGAAGCCGCACUUCCCCCGGCACAGCGGCAGGGAUCCUUACGGACACCCCUCGGCUCCCCUGGCAGCACCGGGGCGGAGCUCUGCCCGCCCCGCCCGGCGCCGCC